UGGAGUGUGACUCAGUGGUAGAGUGAAUGCCUGUCACACAGGAGGCCCUGGGUUUGAUCCCCAGCACCAUAC
rnacentral:tRNA from 2 species